GACGAACGCUGGCGGCGUGCUUAGCACAUGCAAGUCGAACGGAAAGGCCCUGCUUUUGUGGGGUGCUCGAGUGGCGAACGGGUGAGUAACACGUGAGUAACCUGCCCUUGACUUUGGGUUAACUUCAGGAAACUGGGGCUAAUACCGGAUAGGAGCUCCUGCUGCAUGGUGGGGGUUGGAAAGUUUCGGCGGUUGGGGAUGGACUCGCGGCUUAUCAGCUUGUUGGUGGGGUAGUGGCUUACCAAGGCUUUGACGGGUAGCCGGCCUGAGAGGGUGACCGGCCACAUUUGGACUGAGAUACGGCCCAGACUCCUACGGGAGGCAGCAGUGGGGAAUAUUGCACAAUGGGCGGAAGCCUGAUGCAGCAACGCCGCGUGCGGGAUGACGGCCUUCGGGUUGUAAACCGCUUUCGCCUGUGACGAAGCGUGAGUGACGGUAAUGGGUAAAGAAGCACCGGCUAACUACGUG
rnacentral:rRNA from 1 species